ensembl:snRNA U4 U4 spliceosomal RNA
AGCUUUGUGCAGUGGCAGUAUCACAGCCAAUGAGGUUUAUCCGAGGCACGAUUACUGCUCAUUGAAAACUUUUCCCAACACCCCGCCAUGAUGACUUGAAUAUAGUCGGCAUUGGCAAUUUUUGGCAGUCUCUAUGGGGCUGAAUUAAAAAAAGAGA